rnacentral:SRP_RNA from 1 species
GGAGGUUGGUAGUGGACGAACUACUCGCCAACCGGGUCAGGUCUGGAAGGAAGCAGCCCCAACGAGCCUAGUACGGGUCAUUGUAUCAACCUCCUAA